UACGUAGGGGGCAAGCGUUGUCCGGAUUUAUUGGGCGUAAAGAGCGUGUAGGCGGCCAGAUAGGUCCGUUGUGAAAACUCGAGGCUCAACCUCGAGACGCCGAUGGAAACCAUUUGGCUAGAGUCCGGAAGAGGAGAGUGGAAUUCCUGGUGUAGCGGUGAAAUGCGCAGAUAUCUGGAGGAAUACCGGUGGCGAAGGCGGCAUCCUGGACCGAUAUUGACACUGAGGCGCGAAAGCGUGGGGAGCAAACAGG
rnacentral:rRNA from 1 species